rnacentral:rRNA from 1 species
UACGGAGGGGACUAGCGUUGUUCGGAAUUACUGGGCGUAAAGCGCACGUAGGCGGAUUGUUAAGUCAGGGGUGAAAUCCCGAGGCUCAACCUCGGAACUGCCUUUGAUACUGGCAAUCUCGAGUCCGGAAGAGGUGAGUGGAAUUCCUAGUGUAGAGGUGAAAUUCGUAGAUAUUAGGAAGAACACCAGUGGCGAAGGCGGCUCACUGGUCCGGUACUGACGCUGAUGUGCGAAAGCGUGGGGAGCAAACAGG